rnacentral:rRNA from 1 species
UACGUAGGGGGCAAGCGUUGUCCGGAUUUAUUGGGCGUAAAGAGCUCGUAGGCGGCUGGUCACGUCGGGUGUGAAAGCUCAGAGCUCAACUCUGAGAGGCCAUUCGAUACGGAUCAGCUAGAGGUAGGUAGGGGAAAGUGGAAUUCCUGGUGUAGCGGUGAAAUGCGCAGAUAUCAGGAGGAACACCGGUGGCGAAGGCGGCUUUCUGGGCCUUACCUGACGCUGAGGAGCGAAAGCUGGGGGAGCGAAC